rnacentral:rRNA from 1 species
ACGGCUCAGUAACACGUAGACAACCUACCCUCAGCACGGGGAUAAACCCGGGAAACUGGGUAUAAUACCCGAUAGUUCUGGGAUGCUGGAAUGCAUCCAGGACGAAAGCUCCGGCGACUGAGGAUGGGUCUGCGGCCUAUCAGGUAGUAGUGGGUGUAAUGUACCUACUAGCCUACGACGGGUACGGGUUGUGAGAGCAAGAGCCCGGAGAUGGAUUCUGAGACACGAAUCCAGGCCCUACGGGGUGCAGCAGGCGCGAAAACUUUACAAUGCUGGCAACAGCGAUAAGGGGACCUCGAGUGCCAGGAUACAAUCUUGGCUGUCGUAAUGCCUAAAAAGCAUUGCAUAGCAAGGGCCGGGCAAGACCGGUGCCAGCCGCCGCGGUAACACCGGCGGCUCGAGUGGUAACCGCUAUUAUUGGGUCUAAAGGGUCUGUAGCCGGCCGGAUAAGUCUCUUGGGAAAUCCAGCUGCUCAACAGUUGGGCUUUCAGGAGAUACUGUUCGGCUCGAGGCCGGGAGAGGUGAGAGGUACUUCAGGGGUAGGGGUGAAAUCUUGUAAUCCUUGAAGGACCACCAGUGGCGAAGGCGUCUCACCAGAACGGUCCUGACGGCAAGGGACGAAAGCUAGGGGCACGAACCGGAUUAGAUACCCGGGUAGUCCUAGCCGUAAACGAUACUCGCUAGGUGUCAGCCACGGUGCGACCGUGGUUGGUGCCGUAGGGAAGCCGUGAAGCGAGCCACCUGGGGAAGUACGGCCGCAAGGCUGAAACUUAAAGGAAUUGGCGGGGGAG